UUUACCACAGCUGCACUGAGAAGUAGCUCUUAUAAUGAGCUCAAAAGGUGUUUGCUAAUCGCUGCUGGCUAGUCUGAAGGAGCUGAACUUCAAAGGCGGGGCUAAGUCCAAACAGGUGUUUGCAGCUGAAUGGUUGCCAUGGAGAUUAAAGGAUUCCUCAAACAUGCAUG